UACGAAGGGGGCUAGCGUUGCUCGGAAUCACUGGGCGUAAAGGGUGCGUAGGCGGGUCUUUAAGUCAGGGGUGAAAUCCUGGAGCUCAACUCCAGAACUGCCUUUGAUACUGAGGAUCUUGAGUUCGGGAGAGGUGAGUGGAACUGCGAGUGUAGAGGUGAAAUUCGUAGAUAUUGGGAAGAACACCGGUGGCGAAGGCGGCUAUCUGGACCGUAACUGACGCUGAGGCGCGAAAGCGUGGGGAGCAAACAGG
rnacentral:rRNA from 1 species